rnacentral:rRNA from 1 species
AGAGUUUGAUCCUGGCUCAGGAUGAACGCUAGCGACAGGCUUAACACAUGCAAGUCGAGGGGCAGCACAGGUAGCAAUACCGGGUGGCGACCGGCGCACGGGUGAGUAACGCGUAUGCAACUUGCCUAUCAGAGGGGGAUAACCCGGCGAAAGUCGGACUAAUACCGCAUGAAGCAGGGAUCCCGCAUGGGAAUAUUUGCUAAAGAUUCAUCGCUGAUAGAUAGGCAUGCGUUCCAUUAGGCAGUUGGCGGGGUAACGGCCCACCAAACCGACGAUGGAUAGGGGUUCUGAGAGGAAGGUCCCCCACAUUGGUACUGAGACACGGACCAAACUCCUACGGGAGGCAGCAGUGAGGAAUAUUGGUCAAUGGCCGAGAGGCUGAACCAGCCAAGUCGCGUGAGGGAUGAAGGUUCUAUGGAUCGUAAACCUCUUUUAUAAGGGAAUAAAGUGCGGGACGUGUCCCGUUUUGUAUGUACCUUAUGAAUAAGGAUCGGCUAACUCCGUGCCAGCAGCCGCGGUAAUACGGAGGAUCCGAGCGUUAUCCGGAUUUAUUGGGUUUAAAGGGUGCGUAGGCGGCCUUUUAAGUCAGCGGUGAAAGUCUGUGGCUCAACCAUAGAAUUGCCGUUGAAACUGGGGGGCUUGAGUAUGUUUGAGGCAGGCGGAAUGCGUGGUGUAGCGGUGAAAUGCAUAGAUAUCACGCAGAACCCCGAUUGCGAAGGCAGCCUGCCAAGCCAUUACUGACGCUGAUGCACGAAAGCGUGGGGAUCAAACAGGAUUAGAUACCCUGGUAGUCCACGCAGUAAACGAUGAUCACUAGCUGUUUGCGAUACACUGUAAGCGGCACAGCGAAAGCGUUAAGUGAUCCACCUGGGGAGUACGCCGGCAACGGUGAAACUCAAAGGAAUUGACGGGGGCCCGCACAAGCGGAGGAACAUGUGGUUUAAUUCGAUGAUACGCGAGGAACCUUACCCGGGUUUGAACGCAUUCGGACCGAGGUGGAAACACCUUUUCUAGCAAUAGCCGUUUGCGAGGUGCUGCAUGGUUGUCGUCAGCUCGUGCCGUGAGGUGUCGGCUUAAGUGCCAUAACGAGCGCAACCCUUGCCACUAGUUACUAACAGGUAAAGCUGAGGACUCUGGUGGGACUGCCAGCGUAAGCUGCGAGGAAGGCGGGGAUGACGUCAAAUCAGCACGGCCCUUACAUCCGGGGCGACACACGUGUUACAAUGGCGUGGACAAAGGGAAGCCACCUGGCGACAGGGAGCGAAUCCCCAAACCACGUCUCAGUUCGGAUCGGAGUCUGCAACCCGACUCCGUGAAGCUGGAUUCGCUAGUAAUCGCGCAUCAGCCAUGGCGCGGUGAAUACGUUCCCGGGCCUUGUACACACCGCCCGUCAAGCCAUGGGAGCCGGGGGUACCUGAAGUCCGUAACCGCGAGGAUCGGCCUAGGGUAAAACUGGUGACUGGGGCUAAGUCGUAACAAGGUA